rnacentral:snRNA from 1 species
UUAGCUACCUGGCAGUGGAGAGACCAUGACCGGAAGGUGAUUUUCCCAGGUGAAAACUCAUCACCUGUGAUUUCCCCAGAUGCAUCAAACUCAACUGUAUAUUUUGUGAUAGUGGAAUUCUGUGUUUGAGCUCUCUCCUG